rnacentral:rRNA from 1 species
AUUGAACGCUGGCGGCAUGCCUUACACAUGCAAGUCGAACGGCAGCAUGAUCUAGCUUGCUAGAUUGAUGGCGAGUGGCGAACGGGUGAGUAAUACAUCGGAACGUGCCCUGUAGUGGGGGAUAACUAGUCGAAAGAUUAGCUAAUACCGCAUACGACCUGAGGGUGAAAGUGGGGGACCGCAAGGCCUCAUGCUAUAGGAGCGGCCGAUGUCUGAUUAGCUAGUUGGUGAGGUAAAGGCUCACCAAGGCGACGAUCAGUAGCUGGUCUGAGAGGACGAUCAGCCACACUGGGACUGAGACACGGCCCAGACUCCUACGGGAGGCAGCAGUGGGGAAUUUUGGACAAUGGGGGCAACCCUGAUCCAGCAAUGCCGCGUGUGUGAAGAAGGCCUUCGGGUUGUAAAGCACUUUUGUCCGGAAAGAAAUCGCACUUACUAAUAUUAGGUGUGGAGGACGGUACC